rnacentral:lncRNA from 1 species
UAAUUGUCCUAAUCCUAAACGUUUUAUGUCAUAUUAGUCGUGUAUAUAAACAAGAGCAAUUGCUCAAUGGAAUACAAGCUAAUCGUUUCCAGUAUUAUAUCUACUUUACAUAAUCCAUUCCUUAGUUUAUAUUUGCUACGUGAUUUUUAAAAAUUUGUUUAGGUGUCAUUUUUACAAAGACUCUCACACAAAAAAAAGAUGACAUGGCAUCUUUUUAAUAUGACAUGGCUCAUGUGAUUUGGCAAAAUUAAAACUUCUAACCCUAAUGGCUUUCUUUCGUGAUAUAACAUCUAUAUAAUCAUGUCUCAUGGGAAAACCUAUCGCAUGUCUCACACAGAAAAAAAAACUUUUCAAUAAAGACGCUGUCGUUAAAAUUUGCCCAAGUGUUUCUUGCACUCU